CUUGAAGAGGGCUCGCGCGCUCUUUCGCUUGUACGUUCGGAGCGUGGAAAUAUGAGCCUAAAACCUGUGAUGGUGUUGCUGUUGCACACAAUGAACUCAGUGACCUGAUAACUACUAUUAAGAUGAAGAUGAAAUUCAGAGAGCAGCUGGGACGCAUUUGGCAUUGGAUCUUGAGUUUCUAAUUCCUAACAUGCAUCAACAGUGAUAUGGGAGAAGUCUUAAGACCAAUGACAGCCAUUAUGUCUGCUGAAAAAAAGUGUUGAAGUCGAAGGGAAACGUAAUCUGAAGUUGGCUUGGCAGAAGUUAGCAUCAUGCAUGAACUCUGAAGAUUUGAAGAAAAUCAGCGCAUUAAAAAUGUACAACUCUUUAUUAACACCAGAAUGUGUUGUAAUUGUGGCCCUAUGCAAUAAGUUAUAAAAAUAAAGAUUUAAUGUACCA